UCUCUCUCAUCAAGGUCGCGUUUCUUUUUUUAUUUUCCCUGCCUGGCUGCCGCCUACCCCGGCCCCAACAAUCGGCGGCCGAGUCAACCGAAAAAUUUAACACGAGCCAUUCACCCAAACCACCCCUCCCCUCCCCCCCCCCCCGUCCUCGGCUCCACCUCCACGAAUCGCUCUCGCGUCGAAGGAAGGAAAAAGCCAAAGGGAGGGCGCAGCGCAUCUCCGCGUCGUCGUCGUCCCCAGCGCACGCGGCUCCGCUCCGCGCCCCACCCGAUCUGCCCCAUGAUCUGACCGCAUUGCCGCCGCGGAUCCCACGAUGGAGGCGCUCAACGAGCUCUGCGACCUGGUGGCCGCGCACCCGGAUCUCCUCCUCGCCGACAAGCUCGCAUGGCUAUCCUCCCGCUGCGGUGGCGCCGCCGCCCCGGCCGCGGCCGCCUUCCCGCCGCAGCGCGCGUCGAGGGCGCACCUCCACUCGCUCCUUGCGCUCGCGCGUCUCCUCCCCGCCGGCGCAGCCGGCGCCGCGCCCCCGCCCCCGCUCCUCGCGUUCCUCGCGUCUCACGCGUUCCUCUCCCCGGACUUCUGGCCCCAGUCCUUCGCCUCUGCACCGUUCCUCUCCAGGCUCCUCCCGCUCUUCGCCGCGGCCCCCGCCUCCCCCGCGCUGUCGUCCGCGCUCUCCGCCGCGCUCCUCGCCGCGCUCGACGUCGCCGACCCGGCCUCCGCGCCGCUCGCCCGCGCGUUCCUCUCUGCCGCGGCGGCGGCGGCUCCCCUGCCUCUUCUCCCCGCGGAUGCCGCGCCCGUCGCCGCGCGGCUGCUCCUCGAGUUCCCGGGCUCCGAGGAGGCGCCGACCAGGGCGAAGGGGAAGGGGGAGGACGCGGCGGGCGAGGAGAACGGAGGGGUUAGGGAAGUGGUGCGGAGGUUCGAGGAGGAGGAGAUCGAGGCGCUAGAGCGGAAAGAGGUCGCAUUCAGGUUGAUCGUGCAUAUGAUGGGGGGCCAGGGCGCGCUCGAGGCCGAACAGGUUGGGAAGGUCAGGAAUGCCGCCGCACGGCAGGUCCGGUCGCUCACGGAUUUCCUCAAGAUUAGAAAGCGGGACUGGAGGGAGCAGGGUGUGCAGCUGAGGGCAAGGAUAAACACCAAAUUGACGUGUUGCCAAGCUGCGGUGGUGGUGCUGGUCCGGAGUGUUUCCGCUAUGGAUACUGAUAGCAAGUCUUCCAAGGAUAUGCUCCAGCUGACUCUAGCUUGGUUCAUCGAGGCCACCAAGUCAUGCAUUCUGUCAUCCUGGCGGAAACUGAAGCUCUGCGAGGAGCUAUUUUGCACGCUGCUUAAUGGGAUAAGCCAGAUAACUGUUUCACGUGGGGGCCAGCUCCUGCCAGUGCUGCUGAUUCCCUUAAAACCGCUUGUUGUCAGCACAUGUUCGCAGGCUGAUAUGACAGGCAGUAGCCCGGGGGCUUUGUUUGAGGCAGUGGUGAAAUUGAGCUGUGAGAUCAUAGAGUUUGGCUGGACAAAGGAUAGGGCUCUUGUUGACACAUUCAUUAUGCGGCUAGCUGCAUAUGUUCGUGAACGGAAUGAUUAUGAGGAGGAGGAUGGCAAAGAAAAAGAGGCAGUUCCAGUUAUUCGACUUAAUGUCAUACGCCUUUUGGCUGAGUUAUGUGUAUGCUUGAAAAAAUGGGAAGUUGUAGACAUGAUUUUGCCCCUUUUCAUUGAACAUCUAGAAGAGGGUGAUGCUUCAUCUCCAAGUUCAUUGCGUCUAAGAUUAUUAGAUGCGAUAUCCCGUGUUGCAUGCUUGGGUUUUGAAAAGUCAUACCGUGAGAGCAUUGUAUUGAUGACAAGAAGCUAUCUCGAUAAAGUUAAAGCUGUAGGGGCUUCAGAAAACAACACAUUGCUAUCAGAAGCAACAACUGAGAGAAUAGAGACUCUCCCUGCAGGCUUUCUACUUGUCGCUUCCAACCUCACAAGCACAAAACUCAGGUCUGAUUAUCGUCAUAGGCUAUUGUCUCUGUGCUCUGAUGUGGGGCUUGCUGCUGAAUCUAAAAGUGGGAGGAGUGGUGCUGAUUUGAUGGGCCCGUUACUUCCUGCAGUUGCUGAAAUAUGUUCUGAUUUUGAUCCAGUGUCCACUAUUGAGCCAUCAUUAUUGAAAUUGUUCCGAAACCUUUGGUUCUACAUCGUCUUGUUUGGGCUAGCUCCACCCAUACAGAGCAAUCAGGCACCUACAAAACCAGUUUCCACUUCAUUAAGCACAGUGGAGAGCAUCAGCUCUAUAGCUCUUCAAGCUGUUGCUGGACCAUACAUGUGGAAUAGUGAAUGGUGUGUAGCAGUGCAACGUAUUGCGCAAGGAACUCCUCCUCUGGUAGUCAGUUCAGUGAAAUGGCUUGAAGAUGAACUAGAGUUAAAUGCUUUGCACAAUCCAGGUAGUCGUCGUGGCAAUGGUAAUGAAAAAGCUGCUGUUGGACAAAGAACUGCACUUUCUGCUGCUUUGGGAGGUCGAGUUGAGGUUGCAGCAAUGAGUACAAUUUCAGGGGUUAAAGCUACAUAUCUCCUUGCAGUUGCUUUCCUGGAGAUAUUGCGUUUUAGUUGCAAUGGCGGCAUACUCUCAGCUACUUCUACAUUGAAUAAAUCAAAUAGUGCAUUCAGCUGUGUGUUUGAAUAUCUGCUAACUCCAAACUUGACACUAGCAGUAUCUCAGUGUUUGACGGCAGUUGUGCAUAGAGCUUUUGAAACAGUGUUGUCAUGGCUGGAGGAUCGUAUAUCUGACAUAGGUGAAGGAGCUGAUGUUAGAGAAUCAGUUCUUUCUGUUCAUGCUUGCUUCCUCAUAAAGAGCAUGUCUCAGAGGGAUGAAAAUGUUCGUGAUGUGAGCGUUAAGCUGUUGACUCAGUUGAAGGAAAAGUUUCCACAGGUCCUCUGGAACUCGUCAUGCUUGGAUUUACUUCUUAUUUCUGUUCAUAAUGAGUUGACUUCUGGUCCAGUCAGUGAUCCUGCUUGGGUUGCAACUGUACGCUCACUGUAUCAGAAGAUUGCUAGAGAAUGGUUAACAAGUGCUCUUUCAUAUGCUCCGUGUACCACCCAAGGCCUUAUACAGGAAAAUUUUUGCAAGCCAAGUGGAGUACAGAGAACACAGCAUACAGCAGAUGUCGUCUCACUUUUAUCUGAGAUACGUAUUUGUAAUGGAAAGAAUGAUUGGAACGGCAUCAGGACGGCCAACGUUCCUGCAGUUAUGGAUUCUGCUGCAGCAGCAUCAGGAGCCAAAAAAGAAGCACCUGACUUCACUCUGGAAGUACUCUCUACUGCAGUAGUGACUGCAACUGUGAAAUGCAACCAUGCUGGUGAGAUUGCCGGUAUGAGAAGGCUAUUCAGUACUAUGGGAGGCUUAAACAUGGGCUUGUCUUCUCUUGUCACACAGUCUGCCCAGCCUCAUCAGUCAUUUGAUGAAGUUUUUGUGUCCAAAUUUGUUCAUCUUCUUCAGAAUUUUGUUGUUGCGGCGGAGAAACAACCAAUAGAUAAUUCACAAUUUCGUGAAACUUGUUCUCAGGCUACAGCUUUACUUCUCGAUCACAUGGUUUCUGAUUCUAGAGCAAAUCUGGAAGGGUUUUCUCAGCUUGUACGGCUUCUAUGCUGGUGUCCUGCUUAUAUUUCAACCCCUGAUGCAAUGGAGACUGGAAUAUAUAUCUGGACAUGGCUGGUAUCAGCAGCACCUUCUUUAGGUCCUCUUGUGCUCGCAGAACUUGUUGAUGCAUGGCUGUGGACAAUAGAUACAAAGCGUGGCUUGUUUGCAUCAGAUAUGAAUUACUGUGGUCCUGAUGCAAAAUUGAGGCCACAUCUCAUCGCUGGUGAGCCUGAGACACCACCAGAAAAGGAUCCAGUUGAAGCAAUAAUAGCCCAUAGACUCUGGCUUGGCUUCUUCAUUGAUCGGUUUGAGGUGGUUCGGCAUGAUAGCAUUGAGCAACUUCUACUUCUAGGUCGGAUGUUACAAGGAACAAUGAAGUCUCCAACUCAUUUUUCUCGCCAUCCUGCUGCUACUGGCACUUUCUUUACUGCAAUGCUCCUUGGGCUGAAGUUUUGCUCGUGCCAGUCUCAAUCUAACCUGCAGAAAUGUAAUAUGGGGCUUCAAUUAUUAGAGGACAGGGUAUACCGUGCUGCUUUGGGAUGGUUUGCUUAUGCACCGGAGUGGUAUGAAUCUCCAAACAAAACUUAUGCUCAGAGAGAGGCUCAGUCAGUGUCAGUAUUUGUCCAUUUUCUGCAAAAUGACCGCACCAGUGGUUCCAUUGAUUCUGUUUCAAAGUCACAGGGUCAUGAAAGUGAACAUAAUAUGGCGGAUCAGAUACACCCUGUCUGGGGCUGUGUUGAUAACUAUGCAACUGUGCGGGAAAAACGUAAGCAAUUACUGCUGAUGCUUUCUCAGCAUGAGGCAGACAGGCUUGAAGUGUGGGCGCAACCAAUAAAUACAAAAGAUACGACGACGUUUCGUGGUAAAAUUAGCUCAGAUAAAUGGACUGAUCACGCUAGAACUGCUUUUGCUGUUGAUCCUCGAAUCGCUCUCUCUAUGACUUUGAGGUUCCCCACAAAUUCAGCAUUGCAGUCUGAAAUUACUCAGUUGGUACAGACACGGUUACUGGAGCUCCGCACAAUCCCUGAAGCAUUACCCUUUUUCAUCACUCCAAAGGCAGUAGAUGAAAAUUCAGCGUUGUUACAGCAACUUCCGCACUGGGCUCCAUGUUCUGUUACACAGGCACUGGAGUUUCUUACUCCACCUUACAAAGGACAUCCGCGCGUUAUGGCAUAUGUCCUUCGUGUCUUGGAGACUUACCCACCUGAGACUGUCACCUUUUUUAUGCCACAGUUGGUACAAUCUCUCAGAUAUGAUGAAGGGAAAUUGGUUGAAGGAUAUUUGCUUGGAGCUGCUCGGAGAAGUAAUAUAUUUGCUCAUAUAUUGAUAUGGCAUCUCCAGGGCGAAUGUGUUCCUGAGGAAUCUGGGAAGGACACAGUUGUUCCAAAGGCCAGUGCAUUCCACUCCUUGCUUCCUGCCGUUAGGGAGAAAAUUAUUGACGGUUUCACUCCAGAGGCUCGUGAUAUGUUUGAAAGAGAGUUUGAUUUCUUUGACAAAGUCACCUCUAUUUCUGGUGUUCUUUUCCCUCUUCCCAAGGAAGAGCGGAGAGCUGGUAUUAGAAGGGAGCUGGAGAAGAUCACUGUGCCAGGUGAUGACCUAUACCUACCUACUGCAACAAACAAAUUUGUACGGGGUAUACAACUGGACAGCGGUAUCCCUCUCCAGUCUGCUGCAAAAGUUCCAAUAAUGAUUACUUUUAAUGUGGUUGAUCGUGACGGGGACCCAAAUGAUGUAAAACCACAGGCUUGCAUUUUUAAGGUUGGUGAUGACUGUAGACAAGAUGUGCUGGCUCUCCAAGUUAUUGCUCUAUUAAGGGACAUAUUUCAAGCUGUCGGAUUAAACCUGUAUCUCUUUCCUUAUGGAGUUUUGCCCACUGGACCUGAACGAGGCAUAAUUGAGGUUUACCUUUGUCGGCCAGGAAAUUAGCUAAAUCUGAUUUGCAACCUCUUGUUGAUAAGGUGGCUGUGCACGUUCCAAGUUGGAAGCUUCUCUAAUGAACCGAGCUGGGAGAUUAUUGAUGGUUUGUGUUGUUCUAACAACAACUUCCAUUUAUCAAAUGAUUGCAAUGGAUCUUCCUAAGUGGGUCCCUAAGGCAAUUGAUAAAGUGAGACAUUUCCUUUGUAAAGGUCAAGAACAAGCAAGAGGAGGGAAUUGUUUAGUUUUGUAGCAAAGGGUUUCUAGGCCUCUUUUGUAUGGUGGCCUUGGUAUUCAUGAUUUAUCGACUCUUGGUUGGGCUCUUCGUAUGAGGUGGCUUUGGCUGCAAAAAACAGAGCCUUCAAGAUCAGCAUAUUUGAUAGUUGUCGGGCUCGGGAGUUUAUUCCAGCAAGUCAGCCUACAAUGCCUUUUUCGUUGGUUCUAUUAAGUUUGCUCCCUGGAAACGAAUUUGGAAAUCUUGGGCGCCUAUGCGUUGCAAGUUCUUUUUGUGGCUGGCAAUCCUUACUCGCUUCUGGAUUGCGGAUAGAUUGGCUAAACGGGGGCUGCCUCACUCUCCUUCAUGCCCUUUUUGUGAUCAGGCUGAGGAGACCAUUCAGCAUUUGCUUGUUCAUUGUGUGGUUGCUAGACAGAUUUCGUUCAACAUUCUUCAGAAGGUCGGUCUGCAAGCUGUUGCUCCACAGCCAGACAAGGGUUUCUCAAGUUGGUGUUGCUAGGCGCUGAAACAAGUGGACAAAUAACUCAACAGGGGUCUGAAUUCUCUUAUUAUCUUGGUCACUUAGGAAAUCUGGAAGCAUCGGAAUGAUUGUAUUUUCAAUGGAGCUUCCCCUAAUUUCGAGUUGGUGGUACAUGCCGUGGCUGUGCAAGGAUCUCUUUGGAGUGCGGCUGGAGCCUUGGACCUUCAGGCUCUUUUAGCUGGGUGGUCCCGAAUACUCGGAGUAGAAAUCAAAUGGGUGAAACAACUGAUGGUGGUUUAUUAGAGAUAUUUCAGCAAGACUAUGGCCCUGUAGGUUCACAUUCUUUCGAAACUGCCCGAGAAAUGUU